CAGUCUUUCAUAUUCGAAACGCGAGAGUGUGGACGUGCUACGGAAUAGUUACCUAUUUAAACGUUACAAUUUUUGUGUUUAGCAAGUGUUUGUGCAAUUGACUAUUCCACAUGUGGAAAAUCCUCCCCUGAUGCACUUCGUGGUACACAAAGAAGCUUAUUCCAGUAACACGAUUCUUCAUAAAUUCUUUUCCAUGCUGUUAUGGUAAGUGUUCUCCCUACUUCUUUUUGAUUAUCUAUCGUUAUCUUUCCUAUUUAUUAACCAAAAAUUACGAAUAAAAGAAAAACAAAUCUCAAUUCUCAAAUUCUCUUACAAGUCAUUACAAUUGGAUAUGGACAUGAUUUAAAUAAUAUACCGAGUCUGAUAUCUACAAAAUCGUCUAAAACUUUCAUUUUGUUAUAUGUAGUUUAUAUGUAGAUAUUUUAUUACACAUAGAAAUUUAUUAUAUAUAGAAACAUAACGUCAAUAUUUAAACAAUGGCGAAACAAUAAGCGGUAGAAUAUCUCACAUGAUAUUGAUGUUAUGAGAAAAAGUUUUAACAAAAAUUGUUUAGU